CUCAUAACAACGACAAUAUAAAAACAUAAAAAUAUAAAUUUUUUAUUAAAAAUUAGUGAAAAAUAGUGGAAAAAAAGUGUUUAAAAUUUCUCACAAUGGAAAAUAUCAACACAUCAUCACCAUCGCCCAUGAAAAAAGGCACUAAAAGGCAAGCCUCUCUUUCUCCGCCAGAUGUAAAAAUCGAUAUGGUUCAAAGUUUCUUUGACAAAUUUCCUCAUACGUUUGAAGACUUAGACGCAAAGAAUUUCGACGUUAAAAAUUUCUUAAAAGAAAUACGUCGGGCCUCUAAAGAACUUUUUGAAGUAAAUUUUAAUAAAAAAACUUGUU